rnacentral:rRNA from 1 species
GACGAACGCUGGCGGCGUGCUUAGCACAUGCAAGUCGAACGGAAAGGCCCUGCUUUUGUGGGGUGCUCGAGUGGCGAACGGGUGAGUAACACGUGAGUAACCUGCCCUUGACUUUGGGAUAACUUCAGGAAACUGGGGCUAAUACCGGAUAGGAGCUCCUGCUGCAUGGUGGGGGUUGGAAAGUUUCGGCGGUUGGGGAUGGACUCGCGGCUUAUCAGCUUGUUGGUGGGGUAGUGGCUUACCAAGGCUUUGACGGGUAGCCGGCCUGAGAGGGUGACCGGCCACAUUGGGACUGAGAUACGGCCCAGACUCCUACGGGGGGCAGAAGUGGGGAGUAUUGCACAAUGGGCGGAAGCCUGAUGCAGCAACGCCGCGUGCGGGAUGACGGCCUUCGGGUUGUAAACCGCUUUCGCCUGUGACGAAGCGUGAGUGACGGUAAUGGGUAAAGAAGCACCGGCUAACUACGUG